GGCGGCACGCCUAACACAUGCAAGUCGAACGAAGUAGCAAUACUUAGUGGCAGACGGGUGAGUAACAUGUAGGUAUCUACCCUUUGGCCUGGAAUAACACGAGGAAACUUGUGCUAAUACCGGAUAAGUCUUUACGGAGAAAGCUUUAUGCACCAUUGGAUGAGCCUGCACUUGAUUAGUUUGUUGGUAGGGUAAUGGCCUACCAAGACUGUGAUCAAUAGCUGAUUUGAGAGGAUGAUCAGCCACAUUGGGACUGAGACACGGCCCAAACUCCUACGGGAGGCAGCAGUGGGGAAUCUUGCACAAUGGAGGAAACUCUGAUGCAGCGAUGCCGCGUGAGUGAAGAAGGCCUUUGGGUUGUAAAGCUCUUUCGUCGGGGAAGAAAAUGACUGUACCCGAAUAAGAAGGUCCGGCUAACUUCGUGCCAGCAGCCGCGGUAAUACGAAGGGACCUAGCGUAGUUCGGAAUUACUGGGCUUAAAGAGUUCGUAGGUGGUUGAAAAAGUUAGUGGUGAAAUCCCAGAGCUUAACUCUGGAACUGCCAUUAAAACUUUUCAGCUAGAGUAUGAUAGAGGAAAGCAGAAUUUCUAGUGUAGAGGUGAAAUUCGUAGAUAUUAGAAAGAAUACCAAUUGCGAAGGCAGCUUUCUGGAUCAUUACUGACACUGAGGAACGAAAGCAUGGGUAGCGAAGAGGAUUAGAUACCCUCGUAGUCCAUGCCGUAAACGAUGUGUGUUAGACGUUGGAAAUUUAUUUUCAGUG
rnacentral:rRNA from 1 species